rnacentral:rRNA from 1 species
UACGUAGGGGGCAAGCGUUGUCCGGAAUCAUUGGGCGUAAAGCGCGUGUAGGCGGCCCGGUAAGUCCGCUGUAAAAGUCCAGGGCUCAACCCUGGAAAGCCGGUGGAUACUGUCGGGCUCGAGUCCGGAAGAGGCGAGUGGAAUUCCCGGUGUAGCGGUGAAAUGCGCAGAUAUCGGGAGGAACACCAAUUGCGAAGGCAGCUCGCUGGGACGUCGCUGACGCUGAGACGCGAAAGCGUGGGGAGCAAACAGG